rnacentral:rRNA from 1 species
AANUCUCCUGGAAUGGAGCGUCAUARAGGGUGAGAAUCCCGUCNNNGGACAUGGACCCCAGGGCUUCUGUGAUGCGCUCUCAAAGAGUCNAGUUGUUUGGGAAUGCAGCUCAAAAUGGGUGGUGAACUCCAUCUAAAGCUAAAUAUUGGCGAGAGACCGAUAGCGAACAAGUACCGUGAGGGAAAGAUGAAAAGCACUUUGGAAAGAGAGUGAAACAGUACGUGAAAUUGUUGAAAGGGAAACGCUUGAAGUCAGUCGCGUUGACCGAGACUCACCCUUGCCCUUGGCUUGGUGUACUUCUCGGCUGACGGGUCAGCAUCAAUUUUGAUCCUUGGAUAAUGGSAAGGGAAAGGUGGCACCUUUAGGUGUGUUAUAGUCCUUUGUCGGAUGCAAGGGUUGGGAUUGAGGAACUCAGCAUGCACCUCACGGUGUCGGGGCCUCUGGCUCACGUUACAUGCUUAGGAUGCUGGCGUAAUGGCUUUAAACGACCCGUCUUGAAACACGGACCAAGGAGUCUAACAUGCCCGCGAGUGUUCGGGUGGAAAACCCGUGCGCGUAAUGAAAGUAAAAGUUGGGACCUCUGUCAUAGAGGGCACCGACGCCCGGACCAGACCUUCUGUGACGGCUCUGCGGUAGAGCGUGUAUGUUGGGACCCGAAAGAUGGUGAACUAUGCCUGAAUAGGGUGAA